AUUGAACGCUGGCGGCAUGCCUUACACAUGCAAGUCGAACGGCAGCGGGGGAGAAGCUUGCUUUUCCUGCCGGCGAGUGGCGAACGGGUGAGUAAUACAUCGGAACGUGCCCUGUAGUGGGGGAUAACUGGUCGAAAGAUUAGCUAAUACCGCAUACGACCUGAGGGUGAAAGUGGGGGACCGCAGGGCCUCAUGCUAUAGGAGCGGCCGAUGUCUGAUUAGCUAGUUGGUGGGGUAAAGGCCUACCAAGGCGACGAUCAGUAGCUGGUCUGAGAGGCCGAUCAGCCACACUGGGACUGAGACACGGACCAGACUCCUACGGGAGGCAGCAGUGGGGAAUUUUGGACAAUGGGCGAAAGCCUGAUCCAGCAAUGCCGCGUGUGUGAAGAAGGCCUUCGGGUUGUAAAGCACUUUUGUCCGGAAAGAAAUGGCUCUGGUUAAUACCUGGGGUCGAUGACGGUACCGGAAGAAUAAGGACCGGCUAACUACGUGCCAGCAGCCGCGGUAA
rnacentral:rRNA from 1 species